rnacentral:rRNA from 1 species
UACGGAGGGUGCAAGCGUUAUCCGGAUUUACUGGGGUUUAAAGGGAGCGUAGGUGGGUCGGUAAGUCAGUGGUGAAAUCUUCGAGCUUAACUCGGAAACUGCCAUUGAUACUAUCGAUCUUGAAUUAUCUGGAGGUAAGCGGAAUAUGUCAUGUAGCGGUGAAAUGCUUAGAUAUGACAUAGAACACCCAUUGCGAAGGCAGCUUACUACGGAUAUAUUGACACUGAGGCUCGAAAGCGUGGGGAUCAAACAGG